ACUCUGAAUGGGAGAGCCUUGCAAUGGGACAACAGCCAAGAGAGCACCUGAACAGCAGAGCACUUUGGUAGCAGCGAGAAAAGUCAAUACAGGUUCUGAUAGCACAGCAGCACUCAGCAGGCUCAUUGCUUUCUCUGACCUACAGUGCUGACAUCCAAACUGAAAGGACUACAUUUAAGUGUCAAAGAGAUUCCCAGCCAUCUGCUGCCUCACCAGCUGCUCUCGAUGCAGGAUGAAACUUAUCUCAAUUCAGGAACCUGGGCCUCAGGCAGAGGGGUGGAAGGAGCAUCGCUGACCUCACAAGUGCUGUCUGCAGGAUGCGCGCCCAGACUGGUGCAGACGUUGGAAAUUGGAUGAAUCUCUUGUGGUAUCUCCUCUUUGGUCAGCACAAGCAGAGUGUUUCCCCAGCGGUGCAGUGGAGAAAGACUUGGAUCAUCCCUGUUUGUCCCACGCACUGGCUCAUCAGAUAUUUCUAGAGAAGCUUCUGCAAUGUCCUUCCUUCAACAAACCAUGCACUGGGGCAGCCAGACUGCAAUGGGCAGCAGCCUGUGCUGAUGGAAAGAAGAUACUGUCUGGAUCCCAUGGAGAGCAAGGCACAUGAUGAAGUCUGCGGAGCUGCUUGCUGAUGGGACCCGCUGCCACCAUCCUGCACCCUGCUCUGGGCACACAGAGACCCACAGCACUGCCCGAGUCCACCAGGAAACAGCCCGGAAACCUCAGUUUAUUUUCCCCCCCCCUUGUUGUUUUUCCCUCUCAGAAUUAUAUCUGACACCAGAGUCCAUCAGACAAAGUCCUUACAAACACAGGAGUCCUGAAGACAUCGGCUGAAUGUUUUCCUGGUAUAAAGAAGAAGAGGAGGAGAAAGAGGUGGUGACGGUGCGGGUGCAGAGAGUUUGGACUGGGACGGAGGGCGUGGUGGAAGGAGAGAGGUCGGUAUGUUUGUACCAAUGUUUUUAAAUUAUUUUUUUAUUUGUUCAUAUGUUCUCUUUUUU